rnacentral:rRNA from 1 species
CCUACGGGUGGCAGCAGUGAGGACUAUUGGUCAAUGGGCGCGAGCCUGAACCAGCCAAGUAGCGUGAAGGAUGACUGCCCUACGGGUUGUAAACUUCUUUUAUAAAGGAAUAAAGUGAGGCACGUGUGCCUUUUUGUAUGUACUUUAUGAAUAAGGAUCGGCUAACUCCGUGCCAGCAGCCGCGGUAAUACGGAGGAUCCGAGCGUUAUCCGGAUUUAUUGGGUUUAAAGGGAGCGUAGAUGUGUUGUUCAGUCCGGUGGGAAAGUUUGCGGCUGAACCGUAAAAAUGCAAUUGAUACUGGCAGCCUUGAGUACGGUUGAGGUAGGCGGAAUGCGUGGUGUAGCGGUGAAAUGCUUAGAUAUCACGAAGAACUCCGAUUGCGAAGGCAGCUUACUAAACUGCCACUGACAUUGAUGCUCGAAAGUGUGGGUAUCAAACAGGAUUAGAUACCCCUGUAGUC